rnacentral:misc_RNA from 1 species
UACGUAGGGUGCAAGCGUUGUCCGGAAUUAUUGGGCGUAAAGAGCUCGUAGGCGGUCUGUCGCGUCUGGUGUGAAAACUCAGGGCUUAACUCUGAGCUUGCAUUGGGUACGGGCAGACUAGAGUGUGCUAGGGGAGACUGGAAUUCCUGGUGUAGCGGUGAAAUGCGCAGAUAUCAGGAGGAACACCGGUGGCGAAGGCGGGUCUCGGGGGCAUAACUGACGCUGAGGAGCGAAAGCAUGGGGAGCGAACAGG